rnacentral:rRNA from 1 species
UACGUAGGGAGCAAGCGUUGUCCGGAAUCAUUGGGCGUAAAAGCGCGCGUAGGCGGCCCUGGUAAGUCCGUUGUGAAAGUCAAAGGCUCAACCUUUGAAAUGCCGAUGGAUACUGCCGGGCUAGAGUCCGGAAGGAGGCGAGUGGAAUUCCUGGUGGUAGCGGUGGAAUGCGGCAGAUAUCAGGAGGAACAUCGAUAGCGAA